UACGGAGGGUGCGAACGUUAAUCGGAAUUACUGGGCGUAAAGCGCACGUAGGCGGUUCGUUAAGUGAGAUGUGAAAUCCCCGGGCUUAACCUGGGAACUGCAUUUCAUACUGGCGAACUAGAGUCUGGUAGAGGGGGGUGGAAUUUCCUGUGUAGCGGUGAAAUGCGUAGAUAUAGGAAGGAACAUCAGUGGCGAAGGCGGCCCCCUGGAUCAAGACUGACGCUGAGGUGCGAAAGCGUGGGGAG
rnacentral:rRNA from 1 species